ACAACAUAAAAAGGAGAACUGAAGAGGAAGAUGUGAUGCUGUUGGUUCUCCUGGAGAGGCUUGUCAUGCUGGCUUUCCUGAUAUGAACUCGGCUCUUCUCAUAAUCAGAGGAGGAAUCAGGUGGCAGGAGCAGAGCAAGAGAAGCCGAGAGGAGGCUGCGUCUCUCACUGACGUCUCAGCUCAGGCCUUUGUCCCCGAAGGUGUCCAUUCUAGAGCAGCAUCUCCUCGGAAUUCAUGCUGCAGUGACUGAGUGAUCAAGCUGUUACCACGUUGCUUAACAGUCCAUUUGCUGCUGGGGUUGUUUGUAUUUGAGACUCAACAGAUUUACAGGUUUCUUAUGAAGUAAGAGAGGUGAAUUUAGCACACAUCUCUGGAGUUUUAAAGUCCAUGAUUGGGCAGCCCCAUUGGUUUGGCCUCUAAUGGGGGCAGUUGAGGCAGGCACAUCGUAUCAGGAGCACUUUAGAAGCAGUCACGUCUCAAAUUGGGAGAGAGAGAGAAGAGAAGAUCCAUGUGGUCCACACCAUCUUCCAACAUCAUUCUGCUGGAUUACAGGAGGCUCUGCCCUAAGACUACAGCUCUGAAAUGUCCAUAGCGCCUCCUUCUGGACCAAGGCCUCCAUUACAACUGACACUCCAUUGAAUGGUGUUCCUCCCACAGCCGGCGCUAUCCAGUCCCUGAAGAGUGUGAAUGUGUUUGGACCCUUUUACUGUAAAAACGUUGAAUCAAUAAAAGAUUAU